CCUACGGGAGGCAGCAGUGAGGAAUAUUGGUCAAUGGCCGGAAGGCUGAACCAGCCAAGCCGCGUGAAGGACGAAGGUGCCAAGCAUUGUAAACUUCUUUUGUCAAGGGACAAAAUCAGGCUCGAGAGCCUGACCGAGGGUACUUGAAGAAAAAGCAUCGGCUAACUCCGUGCCAGCAGCCGCGGUAAUACGGAGGAUGCGAGCGUUAUCCGGAUUUAUUGGGUUUAAAGGGUGCGUAGGGGGAUUGUUAAGUCAGCGGUAAAAGCCCGGGGCUCAACCCCGGCUAGCCGUUGAUACUGGCUGUCUUGAGAUGUCGAGAGGUAUGCGGAAUGCGCAGUGUAGCGGUGAAAUGCUUAGAUAUUGCGCAGAACUCCGAUUGCGAAGGCAGCAUACUGGCGGCGAUCUGACGCUGAGGCACGAAAGCGUGGGUAUCGAACAGGAUUAGAUACCCGUGUAGUC
rnacentral:rRNA from 1 species